AACGAACGCUGGCGGCGUGCUUAAUACAUGCAAGUCGUGCGAGAACGGGUCCUUCGGGCCCUAGUAAAGCGGCGCACGGGUGCGUAACACGUGGGCAACCUGCCCAACGGUUCGGGAUAAGCUCUCGAAAGGGGGUCUAAUACCGAAUGAUAUUCAGACGAGACAUCUCGUUUGACUCAAAGGCGGUGAAGGCCGUCGCCGAUGGAUGGGCCCGCGGCCCAUUAGCUAGUUGGCGGGGUAACGGCCCACCAAGGCUGUGAUGGGUAGCCGACCUGAGAGGGCGACCGGCCACACUGGGACUGAGAUACAGCCCAGACUCCUACGGGAGGCAGCAGUAGGGAAUAUUGCGCAAUGGGGAAACCCUGACGCAGCAACGCCGCGUGGGUGACGAAGCUCCUUGGAGUGUAAAACCCUGUCGCCAGGGAAGAAACGGCGGAUGAGAAAUGCAUUCCGCCUGACGGUACCUAGGAAAGGAAGUUCCGGCUAACUCCGUGCCAGCCGCCGCCGUAAC
rnacentral:rRNA from 1 species